ensembl:lncRNA
GUGUGAAGCACUGUGUUGUGCCCGUCUUGGUGCGCUGCUGGCGGCUGUCUAACUCUCUCUCUCCCUCAGGCUGGAAUUGUAUGAUUGUGAAGACAUCGCGAACCUUAAAGGUUGAGAAGUGAACGGAUUAUACGGCGAACUGAGACGACGUGAAAAAGGGGAUUGGAAGCGGCAUUGAUGUGAGUACUAAGAGCCAGUCGAAAGUGCCCUGUAUAUUGACCUGGCGUUGUGUAGAUCUCUCCAGGAGGAGGGCGGCCCUACCCCUAAUAUAGUGUGGUGGGAGAGCCGAAGGAAUACUUAUUGAAGUAGUCACAACGACGACAUCACUAGCUAGGCCGCAUAUUCCAUCGCCAGAUCCGAACCAAGCGAAGUGAAGGAAGACGGGUGUCCUUUUCGUACACUGAGUGUGGUGGGUGAGUCUUCGUGCUGUGAAAACCUAUAAUUUUGACGUGGUGUUGUAUAUUGCUGUGGGCUGCUGUGUAUUGCCGUGUGUCCUGUCAGAUAAACCCCCGCCUUCACGCACUUCGUCGCGGGAGGACAAGGAGACUGCUGGUCCUAGCCUAGUUCAGUAUAGUAUAUGUUGUGAGCGUGCUUCAGAUCUCCGGAGAUAGCACGGUACGCUGUGUCCAGCCCACCUGUGGAGAGGAAAGGAAAGAGAGAGUGAGUAACACAAGGAGAACCAGAGGGAACCUGUACUUACAGUACGCUGUGCCCAGCCCAGAGGUGAGAGCCAUUCAAAGCAAACUAACUGUGCUAUUGUGCCUAAGUUGAUACCUGUGGAGAGAAAAGGAGAGAGAGUGGGUAACACGAGGAGAGACCGAGGAAACCUGUACUUACGCCGCUGCCUGUGGAGAAAGAGAAAGAGACCGUUGCCUGUGGAGGAAGAGAAAGAGAGUGAGCACCUCGAGAACGAACUGUGUGAACCAGUACUUACCGUGAGCUGUAUUCAGCGAAGAGGAGGAAGAAGGAGGGCGCUACGGAUACCUAAGACUCAGGCCGGGGCCCGAGUCCCACGCCCCGGAUCCCCGUGGCCCCCUUGCUCCCUGACCUCUUCCCGGCCAUAGCCCAUCUGGAGGGCCGAGUCAGAGUUUAGUUUUAAUUGCCCUUUCCCUAUUCCCCAAGCUAUUUUUAAAUAUUUAAAUAAAGAUUGUUUUAUCACUU